GGCGAAAGCCUGACGGAGCAACGCCGCGUGAGGGAUGAAGGCCUCUGGGCUGUAAACCUCUUUUAUCAAGGAAGAAGAUCUGACGGUACUUGAUGAAUAAGCCACGGCUAAUUCCGUGCCAGCAGCCGCGGUAAUACGGGAGUGGCAAGCGUUAUCCGGAAUUAUUGGGCGUAAAGCGUCCGCAGGCGGCCCUUCAAGUCUGCUGUUAAAAAGUGGAGCUUACCUCCAUCAUGGCAGUGGAAACUGUUGGGCUUGAGUGUGGUAGGGGCAGAGGGAAUUCCCGGUGUAGCGGUGAAAUGCGUAGAUAUCGGGAAGAACACCAGUGGCGAAGGCGCUCUGCUGGGCCAUCACUGACGCUCAUGGACGAAAGCCAGGGGAGCGAAAGGGAUUAGAUACCCCUGUAGUCCUGGCCGUAAACGAUGAACACUAGGUGUCGGGGGAAUCGACCCCCUCGGUGUCGUAGCCAACGCGUUAAGUGUUCCGCCUGGGGAGUACGCACGCAAGUGUG
rnacentral:rRNA from 1 species